UGCAAAACAAAGCACAACCACAUGCUUUAUCCUCAGCACUCAAAACUCUGUUGAGCUGAAGCUCUUUAGACGGUUAUUGAACUAUUCUGUUCAAUGUCUAGUAUCAGGUCAAAAAAUGUUUCAUCUCUAUGAGUCAUAGUUUCACAAAUGCCUAACUCCUAGCCACCUUGUCAGAGACUGCUGUGGGCAACUUCAAUGCUUAUUUUGCUUUAAUUAUGGCCAUAAGGCUCGCUUUUUUGCUAAAAUGAUAGUCUUCAUUACAAAUGGAUUCUAAAGCCUGAUAAACCCUACUCCCAACAAAAGGCGGCAACUAAUCCUAUUCAGUGGUCCUUUGGCCCUAGUGCCCCAAGUGGCUCCAAAUGAAGACUGGAGGGUGCAUGAUCAGGGUUCUGGAGUAUCUCAAAAUAACUCCUCCCUAAUAGCUAGUUGAUUGUUCAAGAAGGAAGUGGUGUAGAGAUUGAAGUUAAUAUUAAUCCUUUGCAGCCCUGUCUAAGAAUGUAAAGAAACAAACUGGUAUUGCUCUACUUGUUCUCCCCAACCUACCUUCUCUUGCUGUCUACAGCAAUCAAACUGAAGCUCCGAGGGGCAGGGAUCUAAAAACAGCAAUCAUCAACUUUCUCACUGGAGGAAUAAAGCAUCUGACCAACAACCAUCCUGAAAGAACAGAUCAGUAAGGCAUUGCAUAAUACUCCACCAAUUGAUCACAGAAAGGAACACAAAAAAAUAGUGCCUGAAACAGGAAACAGUUGGAUCCCGCAUUAUGAGGAGAACACUAUCAAGUCUUUCUCAUUAUGUUGCUGAACCAAUGUCUCACAUCCAAGCAACACUCACAAAUAGCAACAUGCAAUCAACCAAAAAAUGCCACUUUAACAUCAUCAACAGGUUCAUCUCCUUUCAUCACCAGUCUUCGGUGUCUUGAUGGGCCUCCUUUUAUCAAUCUAAGCGAUAGAUUCCGGUGUCCUUGUCUAGGCGGAAGGGCUCGUGUUCUCUAAACAUUGCCAUCUGAAACUGUACCAUGAGUUUCGGCGCAACAACAUGAUAAAUGUGUUCAAUGUCGUCCGCAGCGAACAUCUAUAGUGGAAUGUUAGCUUGAGCGACUCCACCCACAGGAACAGCUUGGGCUGCUAUUGUCGCUCUUGCUAAUGCAUUUUGGAUCAAUCCAGCCUGUGUGAUCCUUUGUCUUAAUGUUGGGCUGCCUAACAAGGUACUCAGCCGCUGCUACUGCUCCUGCUUUUGCUUCACUGGGAGACAAUGGAACCCCUAACAGAAGAAAUUGAUGUAAGGUGUCUGCAAUCACUAAAGCUAUUGCUGGUGGCAUUGGAUUCAGAAGUCGAGCAGCAAGUGGCAGUACAGGCUGAACUGCUGCUGUUAUUACAGGCUCUUGCUACAGCUGCACUGUGUUGCAAAUGGUGCCAUUCUUUGAGCCCAGCUGCUGCCCCAAAUAUUGCAGCUUCGAUGUGUCCUAGUAGUCCGCCUCCAAAUGAGCUUGGCCAUUUCGCCGGCAGGGCGGUUCCAUGGAGCGUACCGGAGAACACAACAAUGAAGAUGGGUGUUGUCCAUUGCACUUGCCAACCAAAGAUUUGCACCGGGAGGUUGUAUAUCUUGCAUAAUCCUUGUGUAUUUUGCUGCAUCUGUCUUCUCGAUAACCUUGAGACGCUUAUGCAUCCGAUCAAACAAGGCCGCUUUGUUAUCUUCCUCUUCAUGACAGAAGUGGGUUUGCACGAGCAAAGAGUCUCCAAUGUUAUACUGCCUCAGAGUAUCUAAAAGGAGGGCCAAAUCUUCUGGUAACUGAAGCGAUGAAUGUAUGCCAUCCUUGAUGAGGCCGCCACCACUGACAUAUUUCUUAUAACCCUAUUCACAGUAGCACCGAUCGGUUUGACCAAUUGUAGCAUUACAUGCAUGCCUUUGAGGUUGCCCAUGUAAUCAGUUCCAAAACAGUCUCUAUUGAAACCACCAUCUAGGCAAUAUCCUAAAAGAUGCAACUCGCAGAACCAUUUCACCAAACAAUAUUUAGUCCCAAACGGUCUCCUCGUGCAAGGUGGACUACAGAUUGUUCGGUGAAAUGGUUCUGCGAGUUGCAUCUUUUAGGAUAUUGCCUAGAUGGUGGUUUCAAUAGAGACUGUUUUGGAAUUGAUUACAUGGGCAACCUCAAAAGCAUGCAUGUACUGCUACAAUUGGUCAAACCGAUCGGUGCUACU